AGCGGCAACGGCGGCGGCGGCGGCGGCGGCUACGACUUCGACCCGUACGAGCACUACGAGAACCUCAGCAGGAAGGUGCCCUCGCGCCCGCCGAGCUCGCACGGCAGCCACGCGCCGGCGCCCGCUCCCAAGGCGCCCGCCGGCGGAUACGACUACGACCCGUACGAGCACUACGAGAGCAUCAGCAGGAAGGUGCCCUCGCGCCCGCCGAGCUCGCACGGCGGUCCCAAGGCGCCCGGCGGCGGCGGCGGAUACGACCCGUACGAGCACUACGACAACCUCAGCAGCCGGAACGUGCCGUCCCGGCCGCCGAGCUCCCACGGCCAUGGCCACCCACCGGCCGGCUACGACUUUGACCCGUACGAGCACUACGAGAACAUCAGCAGCAGGAACGUCCCGUCCCGGCCGCCGAGCUCCCACGGCCACGGCCACGCGCCGCCGCAGCCGCACCACCGGCCGCAGAACCACCAGCAGCAGCACCAGCACCCCGGCGGCCACGGUUACCACCACCGCCGGACCGGG
rnacentral:lncRNA from 1 species